rnacentral:rRNA from 1 species
UUACUAUUAUGUUCGGAUAUUGGCGUAAGAGCUCGUAGGCGGUUUGUCGCGUCUGCUGUGAAAGACCGGGGCUCAACUCCGGUUCUGCAGUGGGUACGGGCAGACUAGAGUGCAGUAGGGGAGACUGGAAUUCCUGGUGUAGCGGUGAAAUGCGCAGAUAUCAGGAGGAACACCGAUGGCGAAGGCAGGUCUCUGGGCUGUAACUGACGCUGAGGAGCGAAAGCAUGGGGAGCGAACAGGAUUAGAUACCCUGGUAGUCCAUGCCGUAAACGUUGGGCACUAGGUGUGGGGGACAUUCCACGUUUUCCGCGCCGUAGCUAACGCAUUAAGUGCCCCGCCUGGGGAGUACGGCCGCAAGGCUAAAACUCAAAGGAAUUGACGGGGGCCCGCACAAGCGGCGGAGCAUGCGGAUUAAUUCGAUGCAACGCGAAGAACCUUACCAAGGCUUGACAUGAACCGGUAAUACCUGGAAACAGGUGCCCCGCUUGCGGUCGGUUUACAGGUGGUGCAUGGUUGUCGUCAGCUCGUGUCGUGAGAUGUUGGGUUAAGUCCCGCAACGAGCGCAACCCUCGUUCUAUGUUGCCAGCGGUUCGGCCGGGGACUCAUAGGAGACUGCCGGGGUCAACUCGGAGGAAGGUGGGGACGACGUCAAAUCAUCAUGCCCCUUAUGUCUUGGGCUUCACGCAUGCUACAAUGGCCGGUACAAAGGGUUGCGAUACUGUGAGGUGGAGCUAAUCCCAAAAAGCCGGUCUCAGUUCGGAUUGGGGUCUGCAACUCGACCUCAUGAAGUCGGAGUCGCUAGUAAUCGCAGAUCAGCAACGCUGCGGUGAAUACGUUCCCGGGCCUUGUACACACCGCCCGUCAAGUCACGAAGUUGGUAACACCCGAGCCGGUGGCCUACCCUUGUGGGGGGAGCCGUCGAAGUGGGACCGGCGAUUGGGACUAAGUCGUACCAGGUAACCCAUAA